rnacentral:misc_RNA from 1 species
GAAAUGCGAUAAGUAAUGUGAAUUGCAGAAUUCAGUGAAUCAUCGAAUCUUUGAACGCACAUUGCGCCCGCCAGUACUCUGGCGGGCAUGCCUGUCCGAGCGUCAUUUCAACCCUCAGUUCCCCCCUUCCGGGGGGUGAGCUGGUGUUGGGGAUCGGCCGUCCCUCGCGGCGGCCGGCCCUUAAAUUCAGUGGCGGCACCACCGCGAACUCCUCUGCGUAGUAGCUAUACCUCGCAGGCGGAUAGCGGAGGCGACCAGCCGUGAAACCCCCAUCUUUUACAAGGUUGACCUCGGAUCAGGUAGGAAUACCCGCUGAACUUAA